CCGUAAAGCUUAAAGCCAGGGGACUGGCUGGGACUUCCCCGGCGUCCCUUGCGCGGCGGCGGCAGCCACGUGACUACCCGCCAGGCCUCCUGGAGCUCCUGGCCGCUUGCCAACUCGCAUACGGCUCCCCGGGAAGACGCCAGGGGUGUGGCUCUGUCGCGCGCCUGGAGCCUCACGUUCGGCUAUCAGCUGCCAUAGGUCAGGUGGCACAAUGAACGUGCUGGAUUACGAGGAAAUUAACCCUACAAGUUAACCAGGCAGCUGCAUAUGUUGGCAUGAUUGAUGAGAUCUGCUACAGUCAAGCAAGCAGCCCUGGGUGACCAGUUUACCCUUCCCCGCUAGGGUUCCAGCUGCCAGUUGCCCCCAUUCUGUGACAGCUUCUCCUUCUUCUCACCUUGUCAUCGAGCCAAGAUUGUACACUGUAGGAGAACAGUGACCUAGACGACUAUGUUUGUUCACCUUUGCCUUCAUCUCUGACCUCAACUCAGGCCACAAGAGGAGAAGAAAUACAGGAAUUAUUCUGUGUGGCUGGGGCCCUACCAUCUUCAUGUACAUCUAGUGGGUGUGAGGGCAUCCAAUAUAGUGACACAUUUCCCCACUUAUGUUCUGAAACAACUCAACCAGGUAGGUAAGUAAAGAGC